rnacentral:rRNA from 1 species
GAUGAACGCUGGCGGCGUGCCUAAUACAUGCAAGUCGAGCGAAUCGUGGACGCGUGAGUAAAACGUGGAUACCCUCCUAUAUCACUGGGAUAACUUCGGGAAAACCGACUUCAACCCGACACUUAUAGUUUGUUCCGCGCUGCAUUAGCUAGUUGGUAAGGUAACGGCUUACAAAGGCAACGAUGCAUAGCAGACCUGUGAGGGGGAUCGCCCACACGGGAACGGAGCCACGGUCCAGACGCCUACGGGAGGCAGCAGUAGGGAAUCUUCCGCAAGGGGCGAAGGCCUGACGGAGCAACGCCGCGUGAGUGAUGAAGGUCUUCGGAUCGUAAAACUCUGUUAUUAGGGAAGCGGUACCUAAUCAGAAAGCCACGGCUAACUACGUGCCAGCAGCCGCGGUAAUAC